UUGACAAGUGGCUUUUUGACCAGUUUUUAGUCUGCUCCUUUGUACUAUUUUACACAAAUGACAAUUUGUCACUCAAAUUAUGCGUCAUUUUGUUAGACUCACGAGCGAUUUGUUUAAAGCAAACUCCUUUCGUCUAAAGCAGUUCACGACGGUGUUGCAGAAGAGCUCAUAGUAAACGUAAUGUGUUCAAACGCCCUUAAACGGCAAUUCUUUUCCUUGGAUCGAAGUAUCUAGGCAGGGACGCUUCGAUCGCAACGUUCAAGCUAAUAUGCUGUUGUUCGGACCUCUGCGAUAAGGUGAUGAUGGGCUGGCGUGAUUCCUGAUGAGCGCCAUAGCAAAGAUCAUGUAGUAAACUUGUGCGGUUUUCUGUGAUAUUCUGCUUCCUCAUUUGCACUAUCGAAAAAACCUUAUAGGAAACGGCUUUACGCUUCGUACUGCCUCUGGACUAGCAAAGCGUCCUUAGCUUACAGCCUUUUGGUAUCUCAUCGAAGGCGCGCAUGUUGUCUUGUAGAAACCACCCAACAUCACAUGCAAGGAAACGGCUUCCGUGACAAUGACUAGAUUCGCGCUACGAAUUAAAUAUUUAACGAUGCUUUCUUUCG